rnacentral:rRNA from 1 species
UACGAAGGGGGCUAGCGUUGCUCGGAAUCACUGGGCGUAAAGCGCACGUAGGCGGACUCUUAAGUCGGUGGUGAAAUCCUGGAGCUCAACUCCAGAACUGCCUCCGAUACUGUGAGUCUUCGAGUCCGGGAGAGGUGGGUGGAACUGCGAGUGUAGAGGUGAAAUUCGUAGAUAUUGGGAGGAACACCGGUGGCGAAGGCGGCCCCCUGGACCGGUACUGACGCUGAGGCGCGAAAGCGUG